CAGUCAAUGAUUACACCAAAAGUUGCUUGAAGAUAGAUGAAGACAUAAAAAUCAUUCUCAAUGGGAUUACACUGAGGCUU
rnacentral:snoRNA from 1 species